rnacentral:rRNA from 1 species
ACUCCUACGGGAGGCAGCAGUGGGGAAUAUUGCACAAUGGGCGCAAGCCUGAUGCAGCCAUGCCGCGUGUGUGAAGAAGGCCUUCGGGUUGUAAAGCACUUUCAGUCGUGAGGAGGUAGUGUAGUUAAUGAGCUCGCUAUUAUUUUGACGUUAGCGACAGAAGAAGCACCGGCUAACUCCGUGCCAGCAGCCGGCGGUAAUACGGAGGGUGCGAGCGUUAAUCGGAAUUACUGGGCGUAAAGCGCAUGCAGGUGGUUUGUUAAGUCAGAUGUGAAAGCCCGGGGCUCAACCUCGGAAUGC